rnacentral:pre_miRNA from 14 species
UUCCGUCUACCUGUAGCCGAGCUUGUGUGACCAUAUCGUACACAAGUUCGGAUCUACGGGUUGACGGCGC